rnacentral:rRNA from 1 species
UACGUAGGUGGCAAGCGUUGUCCGGAUUUAUUGGGUUUAAAGGGUGCGUAGGCGGCUUUGUAAGUCAGUGGUGAAAUACUCCAGCUUAACUGGAGGGGUGCCAUUGAUACUGCGGAGCUUGAGUACAGAUGAGGUAGGCGGAAUUGACGGUGUAGCGGUGAAAUGCGCAGAUAUCAGGAGGAACACCGGUGGCGAAGGCGGUUCUCUGGGAAUAUCCUGACGCUGAGGAGCGAAAGUGUGGGGGAGCGAACAGG